AUUGAACGCUGGCGGCAGGCCUAACACAUGCAAGUCGAGCGGAGCGGCGGACGGGCGAGUAAUGACUAUGAAUCUGCCUGGCAGUGGGGGGUAACGUACGGAAACGGGCGCUAAUACCGCAUGCUAUCAGUUGAGCCUAGGUGGGAUGGGCUAGUUGGUGGGGUAAAGGCCUACCAAGGCGACGAUCCGUAACUGGUCUGAGAGGAUGAUCAGUCACACUGGAACUGAGACACGGUCCAGACUCCUACGGGAGGCAGCAGUGGGGAAUAUUGGACAAUGGGCGCAAGCCUGAUUCAGCCAUGCCGCGUGUGUGAAGAAGGUCUUCGGGUUGUAAAGCACUUUCAGUUGGGAGGCGUUACCCGCAGAAUAAGCACCGGCUAACUCCGUGCCAGCAGCCGCGGUAAUAC
rnacentral:rRNA from 1 species